rnacentral:tRNA from 1 species
CACUACGAAGCUAAGAGCGUUAACCUUUUAAGUUAAAAUUAGAGAUUAUAAGUCUCCAUAGUGA